rnacentral:piRNA from 1 species
UAAUUGUGUGGUAGCUGUCAGACU